CAGCCGCCGCGGGAAUACGAAGGGUGCAAGCGUUACUCGGAAUUACUGGGCGUAAAGCGUGUGUAGGUGGUUGUUUAAGUCUGUCGUGAAAGCCCUGGGCUCAACCUGGGAAUUGCGAUGGAUACUGGGCGACUAGAGUGCGGUAGAGGAUAGUGGAAUUUCCGGUGUAGCAGUGAAAUGCGUAGAGAUCGGAAGGAACAUCUGUGGCGAAGGCGACUAUCUGGGCCAACACUGACACUGAGACACGAAAGCGUGGGGAGCAAACAGGAUUAGAUACCCCAGUAGUCCCUGUCUCUUAUAC
rnacentral:rRNA from 1 species